rnacentral:rRNA from 1 species
UACGUAGGUGGCUAGCGUUGUCCGGAUUUACUGGGCGUAAAGAGCGCGCAGGCGGUCGUUCAAGUCGAGUGUGAAAGCCCCCGGCUCAACUGGGGAGGGUCACUCGAUACUGAUCGACUCGAAGGCAGGAGAGGGAAGCGGAAUUCCCGGGUGUAGUGGUGAAAUGCGUAGAAUAUCGGGAGGAACACCGGUGGCGAAGGCGGCUCUCUGGACGGUAACUGACGCGUGAG